rnacentral:rRNA from 1 species
UACAGAGGCCUCGAGCGUUAGGCGGAAUCACUGGGCUUAAAGCGUGUGUAGGUGGAUGCCUAAGUACCUUGUGAAAUCCCAUGGCUUAACCAUGGAAUUGCUUGGUAUACUGGGUGUCUUGAGCCACUCAGGGGCGAGCGGAACAAACGGUGGAGCGGUGAAAUGCGUAGAUAUCGCUUGGAACGCCAACGGUGAAAACAGGUUGCUGGGGGUGUGCUGACGCUGAGACACGAAAGCCAGGGGAGCGAACGGG